rnacentral:lncRNA from 1 species
UUGUUAUCUUAUUCCUUUCUGCUCUUUGACGCUGGUGAGGAAGCAUCGCUGAACGCUCUCAUCAUCCUAUCGUCAUGUCUAAGUCAGAGAUUCCAUGGAACCGGAACAGGUGCGGAAGCUCUUCAUUGGAGGGCUGAGCUUCGAAACAACCGACGAGAGUCUGAGGAGCCAUUUUGAGCAAUGGGGAACACUCACCGACUGUGUGGUAAUGAGAGAUCCAAACACCAAAAGAUCCAGAGGCUUUGGGUUUGUCACAUAUGCCACUGUGGAGGAAGUGGAUGCUGCCAUGAAUGCAAGACCACACAAGGUGGAUGGAAGAGUUGUGGAACCUAAGAGAGCUGUGUC